rnacentral:rRNA from 1 species
UACGGGGGGGGCAAGCGUUGUUCGGAAUUACUGGGCGUAAAGGGCUCGUAGGCGGCCAACUAAGUCAGACGUGAAAUCCCUCGGCUUAACCGGGGAACUGCGUCUGAUACUGGAUGGCUUGAGUUCGGGAGAGGGAUGCGGAAUUCCAGGUGUAGCGGUGAAAUGCGCAGAUAUCAGGAGGAACACCCGUGGCGAAAGCGGCUCUCUGGGACGGUACUGACGCUGAGACGCGAAAGCGUGGGGAGCAAACAGG